rnacentral:rRNA from 1 species
CCUACGGGAGGCAGCAGUGGGGGAUAUUGCACAAUGGGGGAAACCCUGAUGCAGCGAUGCCGCGUGAGUGAAGACGGCCUUCGGGUUGUAAAGUUCUGUCGCAGGGGACGAAAAUGACGGUACCCUGCAAGAACGCUCCGGCUAACUACGUGCCAGCAGCCGCGGUAAUACGUCGGGAGCAAGCGUUGUCCGGAAUUACUGGGUGUAAAGGGAGCGUAGGCGGGAGGAUAAGUUGAAUGUGAACUCUAUGGGCUCAACCCGGGCCGGCCGUUGAAACUGGGGAUCUUGAGUGGGCGAGAAGUAUGCGGAAUGCGUGGUGUAGCGGUGAAAUGCAUAUAUAUCACGCAGAACUCCGAUUGCGAAGGCAGCAUACCGGCGCCCGACUGACGCUGAGGCACGAAAGCGUGGGGAUCGAACAGGAUUAGAUACCCUAGUAGUC